rnacentral:rRNA from 1 species
UUGCCUACGGGACGCAGCAGUGGGGGAUAUUGCACAAUGGGGGAACCCUGAUGCAGCGACGCCGCGUGGGUGAAGAAGCGCCUCGGCGCGUAAAGCCCUGUCAGCAGGGAAGAAAAUGACGGUACCUGAAGAAGAAGCCCCGGCUAACUACGUGCCAGCAGCCGCGGUAAUACGUAGGGGGCAAGCGUUAUCCGGAUUUACUGGGUGUAAAGGGGGCGCAGACGGCGAUGCAAGCCAGGAGUGAAAGCCCGGGGCCCAACCCCGGGACUGCUCUUGGAACUACCGGGCUGGAGUGCCGGAGGGGG